rnacentral:rRNA from 1 species
CAGGGAAUCUUCCGCAAUGGGCGAAAGCCUGACGGAGCAACGCCGCGUGAGUGAUGAAGGUCUUCGGAUCGUAAAACUCUGUUAUUAGGGAAGAACAAAUGUGUAAGUAACUAUGCACGUCUUGACGGUACCUAAUCAGAAAGCCACGGCUAACUACGUGCCAGCAGCCGCGGUAAUACGUAGGUGGCAAGCGUUAUCCGGAAUUAUUGGGCGUAAAGCGCGCGUAGGCGGUUUUUUAAGUCUGAUGUGAAAGCCCACGGCUCAACCGUGGAGGGUCAUUGGAAACUGGAAAACUUGAGUGCAGAAGAGGAAAGUGGAAUUCCAUGUGUAGCGGUGAAAUGCGCAGAGAUAAGGAGGAACACCAGUGGCGAAGGCGACUUUCUGGUCUGUAACUGACGCUGAUGUGCGAAAGCGUGGGGAUCAAACAGG